UCCCUCUUAGCUCAGUUGGUAGAGCGCGUCACUAGUAUCCCACCACAAUCCAAAUGCUCAUGACGAGGUCAGUCGUUCAAAUCGGCUAGCGGGAA